rnacentral:rRNA from 1 species
GACGGAGGUGGCAAACGUUGCUCGGAAUUACUGGGCUUAAAGGGCGUGUAGGCGGUCGUUUAAGUCGGGUGUGAAAAACCUCGGCCCAACCGAGGAAUUGCACUCGAUACUGAACGGCUAGAGUGCGAGAGGGGCAAGUGGAACUCCAGGUGUAGCGGUGAAAUGCGUAGAUAUCUGGAGGAACGCCGGUGGCGAAAGCGACUUGCUGGCUCGUAACUGACGCUGAGGCGCGAAAGCCAGGGGAGCAAACGGG